rnacentral:rRNA from 1 species
GACGAAGGGGGCUAGCGUUGUUCGGAAUUACUGGGCGUAAAGCGCGUGUAGGCGGUUGCACAAGUCGGGUGUGAAAGCCUUGAGCUCAACUCAAGAAAUGCACUCGGUACUGGGUGACUAGAGGACCGGAGAGGAUAGUGGAAUUCCCAGUGUAGUGGUGAAAUACGUAGAGAUUGGGAAGAACACCAGUGGCGAAGGCGGCUAUCUGGACGGUUUCUGACGCUAAGACGCGAAAGCGUGGGGAGCAAACAGG